rnacentral:rRNA from 1 species
CUACGGGGCGCUGCAGUGGGGAAUAUUGCACAAUGGGGGAAACCCUGAUGCAGCAACGCCGCGUGAGUGAUGACGGUCUUCGGAUUGUAAAGCUCUGUCUUCAGGGACGAUAAUGACGGUACCUGAGGAGGAAGCCACGGCUAACUACGUGCCAGCAGCCGCGGUAAUACGUAGGUGGCAAGCGUUGUCCGGAUUUACUGGGCGUAAAGGGAGCGUAGGCGGACUUUUAAGUGGGGUGUGAAAUACCCGGGCUUAACCUGGGUGCUGCAUUCCAAACUGGAAGUCUAGAGUACAGGAGGGGAAAGCGGAAUUCCUAGUGUAGCGGUGAAAUGCGUAGAGAUUAGGAAGAACACCGGUGGCGAAGGCGGCUUUCUGGACUGUAACUGACGCUGAGGCUCGAAAGCGUGGGGAGCGAACAGGAUUAGAUACCCUUGUAGUC